rnacentral:lncRNA from 1 species
CUCUUCCCUCCACUCAUGCUCUAAUCUCCAACCCCCAUGCUCCAACAGCCAAUAAUCCUAACAUUGAAAAUGGAGCAAGUAGCCUAGAAACAGUAACACCAGAUAGUUUAGACAGAAGUUUAUUUCCAUUGAGGGAAGUACCCACCUUUAAUAAAGAAGGGAACUUGGUGUCUGUAAGACACUAUACACCUUUUAAACCUGAUGAUUUAGAAAAAUUCAAGCACAAUGUUCAAUUAUUUGAGGCAGAACCAAUGUUGGUUAUAGAAAAAUUAGAAAAUAUAUUCAGAAACUUUGACCCUUCUUGGUUGGAUGUGGAGAAUUUGUUAGAUACAUUUCUGACAAAGAGAGAGAAAAAUAAUGUCAUCUCUCUAGCUAAUAAGAAAAGUGGUAGAGGAGCUCAUCACUGGCCAACUGUAGAUCCACACUGGAACCCUAAUAUUGUACAGGAUCACACAAAACUAGCCCUGGCCAGAGAAGCAUUAUUAAAAGCCAUGAGAGACUGCUCUGAUAGCCCUGAUGCAUGGGAAAAAUUUGAACAAUCCCGACAGGAAAUUAAUGAGACCCCCUCCCACUUUAUGGACAGACUUAUUGAUGUAGGAAGUACAUAUAUGGACCUUGAUUUGUCCAGAGAAAAAGACAUUAAACAUAUACGCAGACAAUUCGUUAGGAAUUGUUGUUCAGCAGUAAAAGACUACUUUGAAACCAACUGUCCCAACUGGGAGUCUAUGGACCUCGAAGAACUGAGGAAAGUAGCAACAUAUGCCUAUAAGAAUCGUACAAAAAAACCUGAAACACACAAUAAAUCAGUAUCAGACUUAGAAAAAGAAAUUGAAAUUUUAAAGGAACAAUUGAAAAGUAAGGGAGAGACCAUGGCCCCUUUGCAGGAAUCCACAGAUAGAUCAUUAACAAACCCCUUAAUAUGCACCUUCUGUGGGAAGAGAGGCCAUGCAAUGAUAGUCUGUAGGAGCAGGCUACGGGAAACAAGAAAUAAUAACACCUUUAGGAAUAAUAAAUAUAGGAACCACAAUGCCAAUCAAAAUGACGGUGCUCAAAAUACAGAAAAUGAUACUACCCAAAAAAAUGCCCAACAACAAUAUAUAAGAAAUGGAGCUCGACCACGCUACACUCAGGGUGAACAACCCCAAC